GCUUUAAAAGCUUUUUAGCACUGGUCUUGUAAACCAGAGGCAGGAUAAUAAUCCUUAAAGCU
rnacentral:tRNA from 1 species